ACGCUCGACACCUACGGGAGCCAGCAGUGGGGAAUAUUGCACAAUGGGGGAAACCCUGAUGCAGCGACGCCGCGUGGAGGAAGAAGGUCUUCGGAUUGUAAACUCCUGUUGUUGGGGAAAAAGAGGAUGGUACCCAACAAGGAAGUGACGGCUAACUACGUGCCAGCAGCCACGGUAAUCUGAGCGGGCUGGCAAGGC
rnacentral:rRNA from 1 species